UUGAGCCCAGUAGUUUGAGGAUAUAGUGAGCUGCAAUCAUACCACUGCUCUCCAACCUGGGCAACAGAGCAAGACCCCAUCUCUUUUUAAAAAAAAAAAAAAAACCUCACAUGUGGAAGCGUGGUCUGAGGAAAGCCUACCCUUUCUACCUGCUGGGGGUUGGCCAGAUUUGACAGGCCACCUCGCCAAUUAGCCCCAAAUCAACAAGCAGCUCUGUUACAUAAGGCUCCUAGUUCCUGCCAAAUGUUGCCAUGCCAAAGUAAGGAGAGGGCAAGGAACCCCUCUAAAUUUAGCAUAUAAUUGGCAGCCAUCAAGAGUGAGGCCUUGAAGUGUAAACCCUUGGAGAUCUGAGAUUCUGUCUUUUAUGUGCCUGGGAAAUGUAUCCUCAGAAAACUGCUUUUCAGCUUGGCCUGAAUUUGGCAAAUUUCUCCCUUCUACUAACUAAUAACUUACAGAUCACCUCCUCUUAUUCAAACUUGAAACUCUAUAUAGUCUUGUAGACUACAGGAAGGCUGGCCAGUCUCUUGGCCAAGAGUGAUUUAUUCAGCCCAUUGACUUCAUGAGAUUCUGUUUUGAUGAUGAGUAUACUUGUAAUAACAAUAGCUAUAAUUAAUUCUGUGUGCCAGGCACUUUGCAUAUAUUACCUCAUUAUUUUUCUCAACAAAAUUAUGAGGUCAGUAUUUUCUCCAUCAUUGCAACUAAGAAGCUUAGAGAAGUUAAAUGAUCUGCAAUUAUUUAACUUCUCUGAGCUAAGCUUACUUAGCUAGUAAAUAGCUGCACUGAGAUGUGAACCCCAGUCUUUCUGACUCCAGAGCUCAUAGUUUUUUACUAUGCCACACAGCCAGUCAUUGAAUUAAUGAGGACCACCUUUUUGUGCAUGACAGGAAAGAAGACAGUAGAAAGGGCAUGAGUAUCAGAGCCAAGGAGUCUAGACUGAUGGAGUUCCUGCUUCUCCUCUAUCUUGCUCAGAGCUUAGUUUCUAUGGAGCCUAGGUGAUGACAGCUAAAUAAUAUAAUUAAGAAGCUCUUGUUUAUUUGCAUUUUAGACCAAAAGUGUAAUGUUGGAUUAGAACUAGGCAUUUUAUAAUCCAGUACUGGUGAAUGUACAAUUUUUAUGAUCAAGUACUGGUGAGUUGUUGAUUGCACAAAACAAAAUAUGUAAAUAAUUUUAAAUACCUGCUUCAAAACCACCAGCCCUUUGUAUUUACCAACAGAUGAAUUUUACUUCAUCAGAUUAAGAUAAUAGACCCUUUAUUUUUAGCCAGUAUAUUUAUGGAUAGUUAAGUGAAAGUAAAAUACGGGAGUAUAUUAAGAGCUCCAGAGUCUUGGGUUCAGCUCUGUAGUUUCUGUGGCUGCUGAAGAAGUGGUCAGGUACAUAGGAACCCCCUGCUGGGCUCCUGGUCACUUCUGUCUGCUCCAUGGCAGGAAGCCUUUAGCACAGGGCAUCAAGGCAAGCUUGAAUAAGAAAAACAAUUUCUUCUUCCUAAGCCAUGUCAUAUCAGUUAUACAGAAGUACUACUUUGGGAAACAGUUUUCAGGAGAGCCUAGAUGAGCUCAUACAAUCUCAGCAGUUCACUCAACUUGCCCUUCAAGUUUUACUUCAGUUUAAUAAGGCUGUAAAUGCAUCAUUUUGGCUCAGAGGGUUAGGAACAGAGUUGAUUUCAGUGGCUCUCUAAAUACAUACAGAUUCUGCCAUAUGCCAUGCAUGGUGGCUCAUGCCUGUCAUCCCAGCACUUUGGGAGGCGAAGGCCGGAGGAUCGCUUGAGGCAAGGAGUUCAAGACCAGCCUCGACGACAACAUAGGAAGACACUGUCUCUACAAAAAAAAAAAAAAACAUUAAUUUAGAAAAACAAAAAGAUUCUGUGAUAAUAUAUAGACUUUUAUAUUCAAUGAUAUUGAAUUCCAAAAGGUGAUAGAACUUAUUAAAGUGGAUAAAGUGAAAAUUAUGGCCUGUGAUGAUAAAAAUACUGGCUGUAAUACUACCGAAUGAAUAGGAAAAAAAUCACGUUUU